rnacentral:rRNA from 1 species
UGAACCUGCUGCUGGAUCAUU